CCUGCUUCCUGCCAUUCCUGGUCCCUGUCCCACCACACAGACACCUGGAGCCCGAACUGAAGAAAUAGAAAAGCAGAGAACAAAAGCAGCAGCUUAAUAACGAUAAACUGUACGGAGCAUUAGGAUCUGGGAGAAGCUAUUGGUGAAGCCCCGGGAGAGCGAGUCAUCUGCGCCGUGAGUGAUGGGCGCGCGGGCCUAGGCUGUUGGUGAGCGCUGCCACCGCCAACGCUCAGAGGAAAUAUUACAGGAACGUCUUAGACAUUUAAAUUCAUCCUUUCAGCAUUUGACAAAGAAAAAUGGUGGAUCGAGACUGAAGUCUUUAAAGCUAACAGUUUGUCACGGAUCUGGCAAUCUGACACAGUUAUGAAAAUUCACUCCGAAUCCGGCAACGUGGAGGGUCACCCAUGUUUCUCCAUCCAGCUGAGCCCCGGGAGCCCACAGGAAUCUUCCGGGCCAUCGCCUGCUCCACCAGAGCCGGAACCCUGGGCAAGCUGCUGGCUCUCCCUGUGUCGGGCCACGGACAUGCUCAGUGUGAUGGGCAUCCUCCAAGUCAAUCAAGUGA